GGCUCCGUGGCUUAAUAUAAUGGUUACGGCUUCUGCCUCAUAAGCAGAAGGUUCAGGGAUCAAAUCCCGGUCGGUACCU
rnacentral:tRNA from 1 species